rnacentral:rRNA from 1 species
AUUGAACGCUGGCGGCAGGCCUAACACAUGCAAGUCGAGCGAGCGGCGGACGGGUGAGUAACGUAUGGGGACUGGCCGAUAGAGGGGGAUAACUACUGGAAACGGUGGGUAAUACCGCAUACUAUCGGAUAACCCAUAUGGGAUUAGCUAGUAGGGGGGGUAAAGGCUCACCAAGGCGACGAUCGCUAGCUGGUCUGAGAGGAUGUGCAGCCACAUGGGGACUGAUACACGGCCCAGAUUCCUCCGGAGGCAGCAGUGGGGAAUAUUGGACAAUGGGGGCAAGCCGGAUGAGGACAUGCGGCGUGUAGGAAGAAGGCAUUAGGUUUGUAAAGUAUUUUCAGCGGGGAGGCGUUACCCGCAUAAGAAGCACCGGCUAACUCCGUGCCAGCAGCCGCGGUAAUUC